AGCCCAAAUCUGAAGUAAGGUAGAUAAGUAAGGUCAGCUGAUCCUACUGUUCUACUAAACUUCUAAACUGGGCUU
rfam:Haemonchus contortus, ISE/inbred ISE, WGS project CAVP01000000 data, contig: Hcontortus_43181